rnacentral:rRNA from 1 species
UACAGAGGGUGCGAGCGUUGUCCGGAAUCACUGGGCGUAAAGGGCGCGUAGGUGGCGAGAUAAGCGUGUGGUGAAAGCCCGGGGCUCAACCCCGUGUCUGCCAUGCGAACUGUCUUGCUUGAGCGUAGUAGAGGCAGGUGGAAUUCCGGGUGUAGCGGUGGAAUGCGUAGAGAUCCGGAAGAACACCGGUGGCGAAGGCGGCCUGCUGGGCUACUGCUGACACUGAUGCGCGACAGCGUGGGGAGCAAACAGG